UUUUUUAUUUUUUUGGUAAUGUGACUCCUUUUUAGCUUGUUCAAUUUUGUGUUGAACCAAAGGGGGUAGAGGCGUUGGAAAUUUUGUACCUCUUUUUGCAGAAGAUUUAUUCACAAUGCGGAAUAUUGGGUCCCCCUUUUUCCUCUGAUUACUUGGUAUAUAUUGAUAAACUUUCUUGCUUGACGAAGACUCUACAACAUAUUGCUUUAAGCUGUUUAAUUCAGGUCCGAUGACUGCCUUUGGCUUGUACACUUUUUCGACAGGCUCGAAAUAAAAUUUUGCAUCAGCAUAGAAGGAUUCAGCUAUUGUGAAUGGCCUUUUGUCUGCGAAUAUUCUUACUAUUUCUCCGGACUGGUCCAUGUAUUUGAUGCACUGAUGGAGUGUAGAUGGUACAAUUUGGUUAUCGUGCAACCAUGGCCGACCCAACAAGGCAUUAUACGAAGUGGCUGCAUCAAUGACAUGGAAGGUCACGUGUGUACAUAGUGAUUCUAACUUUAAAACCAAGGAUAUAGUUCCCAUGGCUUCUUGACCUGAUUGAUUGAAUCCAUGGAUAACCACGUUAGACCGGCUCAAAUCUUCGGUAGAAUAUCCUGUCUUUUUUAGAGUGCGCAACGGUAACAAAUUUAUAGCAGACCCACCAUCAAUCAUUAUCCGAUUUGUAGGUACGUCAUCCAUCUCACCAAACAUUAGCAAAGGUCUAUUAUGCUUCUUUGAACCUAGUAGCAUGUCCUCAUCGGUGAAUGUAAUAUUUAGCGCAUCAGCCGGCUCAGUUUCAGUAUGUGACACUUCCACUCGAUAAUCUUCCGGGAAUAAUAAUGCUGUAACCAAAGCCUUGCGUAAAUCAGAAGAAAGCGACAAAGCAUCAUACACAGAAAGCAUAGCUGGUAUUUUCUUCAAGUGUGAGAUUACAUCAUACUUGAUCGAUACUUUAGCAGUAGGGUCAGUGGUUUCAUUUGGAACUACAUCUUUGUUCCUAGGCUCCUUUCUAGGUGGAGGAUAUGGGUCGGCUAGCUGGCGACCUGAUCUAAGAUGAACUUGAUCAACUUCUGGCGCUUCUUCUUCAGGGAAGUGAAGAGACUCGCUAUCAUCCUCGAAAACACCAAUGGCCAGGACAUCAAAUUUUUGGGGAAGUCCUUUUAAACGCUUCGCCAAGCUCUCUGAUAUUCCCGGCCUAGAGCGUGGAACAUUAAUUUCCUUUUUCACUUGAUGUUGGACGAUGAGUCCAGGUCGCCGUCGUCCUCGAUCUUCAGAUCUUCGGGGCUCAAUGGCGUGUAAUCCUCGGGGCUUGACGGCGUGUAGUCCUCCUCUGCGGAGAAUGUCUCUUUCGAGUUGACAUCUACACCGUCCUCCAUAUCCGAAGUGCGGUUCAACUCCUGACAAUAUCAUAGGAUUAAAAUCCGCAUCUGAUAUGAGCAUAUUUCUAUUAUAAGUUGGUCUCAUAUUUGAAGAGGCACAACUCACCAUGUCAUCCUGAAGGGUGGCCACGUUUGCUGUAGCAACCUUCUUUCCUUUCUUUAGACUUGUAAGGAGAUCUGCAUCAAUGGUUCCUUCAUCUAUCAUUUUCUGAAUAAUAUUCUUGACCACAAAGCAAUCUUUGAGAGUAUGACCCAAGAUACGGUGGUAUUCACAGAAGUUUGGAUCAUUGGACUUGUUAGCUUACUCUGGUCUCUUUGAGCUUGGGCGAUCAUUAAGUUUCAGCUCAAGAAGACCGACAAACAAAUCACGAAUCUCAUCCAUAGGGAAAGAAUACUCCCUGUUCUAACGCUCGGCAAGAGUAGGCCCUCUACAAGCUGGUGCACCUGUACGCUCUAUAUUUCUUGUGCUAGAUGCUCCAGCCUGGAAUUGUGGUUUCAUCGCCGUUGCUUCCAUGACUUGCGCCGGUUUAGGCUUAGCGGGUAACUUGUCACUCUACCACUCUUGUCCACCGGCUUGUACACCGUCUUUGUCCGACGUGCAACGAGCUGCAUAUAAUUCUCAAUAUCUGUGGCUUUUGAGGCCAGCUCUUCAAAUGUAACAGGUCGUACACCUUGAAGAUACACAGCCAUAUCAGGACGAAGAUUAUUCAUACACAUUCGCACAGCCUCACAUUCUGUGAUAGGUUGUGGGCAGUGCAGACUUAGGUUUCUCCACCUGUUAAUAAAAUCUGCAGCUUUCUCGUUAAUCCCUUGUUCUGUUUGGGUUAACUCCGUGAUGCCGACUGUUCUCUGAGUGCUGUAGAAGCGCUCAAGAAAAGCAUCUUGCAUUUGUUCCCAAGUCUUGACGGAACUUGGUGGCAACUUGCUGUACCAAGUAAAAGCAGGACCUGACAGUGUUUGCACAAAUUGACGUAGCAGGAGUGCACCAUUUUGAGCCGUGUCUUGACACGCUGCUAGGAAAUGAGCUAUGUGCUCAUGUGGGGAUCCUCCGCCACUAAACUUACUGAACUGAGGUUGCCGGUAAUUGGCCGGGAAUGGCACAAGAUCAACAUCCGGCGGGUACGGCUUAACAUAUCCCGGCCGCAUGGAGUAAUGAGUUUGCAUAUAUUGGGCCUUGACCCCUUCAGCUAUCAUUUUCUGAAUAGCUUCAAGGUUGAUUCCGAUCCCUCCUUGGUUAGUAUUAUGACUACCCGAGGCAUUCCUCUCAACUUCAGUAUUUGUACUAUUAGCUACACGGUUGCGUAAAGCAACCAACUCAUCUUCUUUCUGUUGGAGUGCAGCUGUGAGUUGCUUAAGUUGUUCUUCGGCUGACUGACCUGUAUUUGCUGUGAGGACCUGCUCCACUCGGCUUACAUUAUGUUGUUGUUCUUCAUGAAAUUUCAACUCAUUUUCGUAAUCAGGCUGAGAAUUUUUCAACAGAAGACGAGACUCUACACAAUCUAAAUCUUGGUCUUCGCUGCUUGCAUCUUUUUGACUGCGAGUUACAGGACGAUGGCCUGGUACAACAUUUUUCUUGGCUUUCUUUCUCUUGAAAUGUACUGAAGUUGAUGAUGUUUCACUAUUGCUGUCCGCCACCUCCGUGACACCAAUCGGGAGAGAGUUGAACACCUCAAAUGAAUUGCUUGAAGCUCUCUUACGAGCUGGCCAAGGAGUGAGCAUCGUGGCAGCCUUCCUUGAUGAUUCUUUGCUCACUUGUACUUUACUACCUUCACUUGAUGUUGGAGCAUCUCUUCCUUGGAUCCUGCUAUAUCCAGAAUCAGCACGUACUGCCAUUUCUCUUCUCUUAAGGGCAGCACGUCUUGCACUUGCACGACCAGCUUGAGUGACAUAUCCUUGUCGCUUGGGAUUUUCCUUUACAAACUCUUCAUACUCCGGCCAUUUGGCGAGAGUGUGUGCAUGCCGCAUGAUUGCGCCACCCUCGUCAUCUGCUGACAUAGAACAACCAGGUAACAUUUCUUUCAAUGUUUCACAUAUGCUUUGUGCUAACUUUUUGUGAAAAUCAUCAUGACGCCUUCCACGAAUUCUUGCAUUGCUCGUCCCAACUCUGUCCCGGAUGGGACAAGCGACUUGCUUCCGUUGCUGCCUUGCUUGAUUGGAGUCGAUUGCCAUCGGAACAUCAACCCAGGCCCGGUGAGCUUUCUGCCGUCGGCGACGCUGACGAGCUGGGUCAUAUGAACCUUCAAAUGAUGGUCGUGGCAUCGACACUGAUGAUGACAAGGGAUCUGUAAUUGUAGCGGUUGGAUCAACGUGACCCGUCCUUAUGUCGCUCGGAGUGAGGUAUACUCCUUUCCACAUGAGCGAGCGUUUGUUUUUUGGUUCCACAUAUGUGGGGAAGAAUUUGGGAGCAUCAACCCGAAGUUGUCCACAUGGUCGAGGAGACUCCGCCUCCUCUACCAUGACAGCUUUGCCCUUAUCCGCUGCAGAAGCCUUACGUGCUGCCCCUAUCGCGUUUGAAGUAGGCUUAUAUGAGCCUCCCUCUGACGCCUCAUGGACAACUUUCCUAGUGCAUGUUGUCGACGACACGCCCACCUUCAGUUUGGAAGGAGUGAGCGGCACCGCGACCUUGGUUGAUGUAGAUGACGCAGAUGGUUCUCGUCGAGCUGGAGUGACUCGAGUUGAAACAGAACGUGUUGGGGAAGCUAUCUUUGCAAGUACAGGCCACUCCUCCAGCGAUGUACCGUGGAAUUUGAUCGGAGCUUCCUGGCUUGUAGGCUUAACAUGCAUUGCCUUAGCAAACCCAGGAGGGACCGAAUCAGAUGUAGCUUCCUUGCACAUACUCAUGUGAUGGUCAUGUGCAACAGCUUUUGAAGCUUUUGCUGCCGCAGCUCGCAUCCUUCUCUUGGCUGACUUAGAGAGCACAGGAACAAAUCCAUCUCUUGGUGCUGAAGAGACCUCUUUUUCUUUCUCAGGUUCACUUGGUGAUGCAGCUGUAGUCUUCCAGCUCUCACUAACUGAAGCCACAAGUGGACCGAUCGGCACAUCCAGCCAGAGGUCACCAAAGCGGAGAGUGACAAACUGCUGACGAANNNNNNNNNNNNNNNNNNNNNNNNNNNNNNNNNNNNNNNNNNNNNNNNNNNNNNNNNNNNNNNNNNNNNNNNNNNNNNNNNNNNNNNNNNNNNNNNNNNNNNNNNNNNNNNNNNNNNNNNNNNNNNNNNNNNNNCUGAACCUGUCCCUCCAUACCUUAUAUAAAUGAAGAAAACCAUAUAUUAGUUUUCUUGCAUACAUGUUUUCUUAUAUAUAUUUAUUUUAUGAAGUCAUAUGUUUUAAUCCUAUGUUGGAAUUCAAAGAUGAGGGGAAAAAUAAGUCCCACCGGGCGUGCCAGAAUCUGAUGACGGGAAAAUGNAAAAUCCAUGUCAACAAUCACGGAGUUCACUAGCAAUCAUAAGAUGGAUGCCAUUGAUAUUGGGAAACACCUCUCUAGGCUCUACGAUAGGGUUGACCAACUUCAGGGCCAGAUCUAUGACCUGUAGAAUCAAAACUGUGAGUAUGAGUACAGAUUUAAAUCAAUAAGGUUGGCUGCAGAUUUGAGGAUUCCGGCGACUCGUUCAUCCUGCCAUGAUGGAGCACCUAUGCCUUGGAAGACGGAGGAUCAGACUACUCCAACAACACCACCAUCACCACCAAAGGAAGACAACUAAGCAUUGGUAUGGGCAAUCCCCUUGGCUUCUGCCAAGCUUGGGGGAGUUGCCCUGGUAUCAUCUCACCUUUAUAUCUUUUGCUUUUACCUUUGUUUUAGUUCUUUCCUUUUCAGUUUUUAUUUCUUCUCUUAGAGGAAUAAGUCUUUAGUUUUUAGUUUGAGUCUUUUGCUUUUGUCUCUCCCUCGAUGUAUUCGAGCUUACGAGCUAUAUAAUAAAGAGUGUCUUAGUUAAGGGCUUUGCUUUGUGCCAUGAUCAAAAGUAUGAAAAGAACGAUAGCAUGAAAGAUCAUGAGACGAUCUUAUGGAAAGUGAUAACUUCACUUAUGACACGUAUGAUGAUUGAAACUUGUUGAGAAUAAAUCAACAUAGACCUCAGUCAUUGUUGCAAUUAAUAAGAAGUAAUAAGGAAACAGAGGUUCACAUAUAAAUAUAUCAUCUUAGACACUUUUUACAAUUGUGAGCACUCACCAAACUAUUACAUGCCUAGGAGUAGAUGUUGGACAAGGAAUACAACAUAAUGAAUUGUGUUUACUUGGUUCCAAACAAUGUUAUAUGAUUAGAGAUCCCUUAGCACGUGACGAUUGCUUCCACCUCAUAUUAGCCAAAACUCCCGCACCAAGUAGAGAUACUACUUGUGCAUCCAUAAACCUCCAACCAGUUUUGCCAUGAAAGUCCACCAUACCUACCUAUGGAUUGAAUAAGAUCCUUCAAGUAAAUUGUCAUCGGUGCAAGCAAUAAAAAUUGCUCUCUAAUAUGUAUGAUCUAUUAGUGUGUGGAAAAUAAGCUUUGUACGAACCUGUGAUGAGGAAGACAUAAAAGCAACAGACUACAUAAUAAAGUUCUUUGUCACAGGAGGCAAUAUAAAGUGACGUUCCUCCGCACUAAGAGGACACGCAUUCAAACCUCAAAAGCGCAUGACAACCUCUGCUUUCCUCUGCGAAGGGCCUAUCCUGUACCUUUACUUUUUACCCUUGUAAGAGUCAUGGUGAUCUUCACCAAUUCCCUUUUUGCCUUUGUCUUGGCUACCGUCACAUGCUUGGGAAAGAUCUAUAUUCAUAUAUCAACUUGGAGUUGAGUACUCAUGCUUUAUUGUUGUUGACUUUAUCCUUGAGGUAAACCGUUGGGAGGCAAAGCUAUAAGCCCCUAUCUUCCUCUGUGUCCAGCUGAAACUUUGACACCAUGAGUACCACGUGAGUUGUAACAAUUGUGGAAAACGAAAGAGAUGAUUGAGUAUGUGGGUUUGCCUUACAAGCUCUUAUUUGACUCUUUCUGAUGUUGUGAUAAAUUGCAAUUGCUUCAAUGACUAUGGACUAUUGUUGGUUACUUCUCGGUAAGGUUUUUGCUUCAUGUUUUGCUUUGUGAAGGAAUUGUUACUUUCCCAUAAGAAUCUUUAUGAUAUAUUGUUGUUCUAUGUGUGAUCAUGAUGCCCUCAUGUCCGUAUUAUGUUUUAUCGACACCUUCGUCCCUCAACAUGUGCACAUGUUUAUGGAACUUGGUUUUCGCUUGAGGACAAGCGAGGUCUAAGCUUGGGGGAGUUGAUACGUCCAUUUUGCAUCAUGCUUUCAUGUUGAUAUUUAUUGCUUUUUGGGCUGUUAUAUUACUUGUGGUACCAUAUUUAUGCCUUUUCUCUCUUAUUUUGCAAGGAUUAUUUGAAGAAGGANNNNNNNNNNNNNNNNNNNNNNNNNNNNNNNNNNNNNNNNNNNNNNNNNNNNNNNNNNNNNNNNNNNNNNNNNNNNNNNNNNNNNNNNNNNNNNNNNNNNAUGCGACGUUCCCAACAGUGGCAUCAUGAGCUAGGUUCAUGCGUAGAUGUCUUCUCGAGUAGAACACAAAAGGUUUUGUGGGCGGUGAUGUGCGUUUUGCUGCCCUCCUUAGUCUUUUCUUGAUUCCGCGGUAUUGUUGGAUUGAAGCGGCUUGGACCGACAUUACUCGUACGCUUACGAGAGACUGGUUUCAUCGUUACGAGUAACCCCCUUUGCUCAAAGAUGACUGGCAAGUGACGGUUUCUCCAACUUUAGUUGAAUCGGAUUUGACCGAGGAGGUCCUUGGAUGAGGUUAAAUAGCAACUCAUAUAUCUCCGUUGUGGUGUUUGCGUAAGUAAGAUGCGAUCCUACUAGAUACCCUUGGUUGCCACGUAAAACAUGCAACAACAAAAUUAGAGGACGUCUAACUUGUUUUUGCAGGGUAUGAUUGUGAUAUGAUAUGGCCAAUGAUGUGAUGUGAUAUAUUGGAUGUAUGAGAUGAUCAUGUUGUAAUAGAAAUAUCGACUUGCACGUCGAUGGUACGGCAACCGGCAGGAGCCAUAGGGUUGUCUUUAUACUAACAUAUGUGCUUGCAGAUGCGUUUACUAUUUUGCUAGGAUGUAGCUUUAGUAGUGAUAGCAUAAGUAGCACGACAACCCCGAUGGCGACACGUUGAUGGAGAUCAUGAUGAUGGAGAUCAUGGUGUGGCGCCGGUGACAAGAAGAUCGUGCCGGUGCUUUGGUGAUGGAGAUCAAGAAGCACGUGAUAAUGGCCAUAUCAUGUCACUUAUGAAUUGCAUGUGAUGUUAAUCCUUUUAUGCACCUUAUUUUGCUUAGAACGACGGUAGCAUUAUGAGGUGAUCUCUCACUAAAAUUUCAAGACGAAAUUGUGUUCUCCCCGACUGUGCACCGUUGCUACAGUUCGUCGUUUCGAGACACCACGUGAUGAUCGGGUGUGAUAGACUCAACGUUCACAUACAACGGGUGCAAAACAGUUGCGCACGCGGAACACUCGGGUUAAGCUUGAAGAGCCUAGCAUGUGCAGACAUGGCCUCGGAACACAUGAGACCGAAAGGUCGAUCAUGAAUCAUAUAGUUGAUAUGAUUAGCAUAGGGAUGCUUACCACUGAAACUACUCUCGACUCACGUGAUGAUCGGACUUGGGAUAGUGUAAGUGGAUCAUGAACCACUCAAAUGACUAGAGAGAUGUACUUUUUGAGUGGGAGUUUAGCAUAUAAUUUGAUUAAGUUGAACUCUAAUUAUCUUGAACAUAGUCUAAGUCCACUUUGAAUAUAUUUGUGUUGUAGAUCAUGGCUCACGCAAGUGUCAUCCUCAAUUUUAAUACGUUCCUAGAGAAAGCUAAGUUGAAAGAUGAUGGAAGCAACUUUGUAGACUGGGCUCGUAAUCUUAGGCUAAUCUUACAAGCUGGAAAGAAGGAUUAUGUCCUUAAUGCUGCGCUAGGAGAUGAACCACCCGCUACGGCUGAUCAGGAUGUUAAGAACGCUUGGUUGGCGCGUAAGGAGGACUACUCAAUAGUUCAAUGUGCAGUCUUGUAUGGCUUAGAGCCGGGACUUCAACGUCGCUUUGAGCGUCAUGGAGCAUUUGAGAUGUUCCAGGAGUUGAAGUUUAUCUUUCAGAAGAACGCCCGGAUCGAGAGGUAUGAGACCUCCGAUAAAUUCUAUGCUUGCAAGAUGGAGGAAAACUCGUCUGUCAGUGAACAUGUGCUCAAGAUGUCUGGGUACUCAAACCGUCUAGCUGAACUAGGGAUUGAACUCCCGCAAGAAGCUAUCACUGACAGAAUCCUCCAAUCACUGCCGCCAAGCUAUAAAGGCUUUGUGUUGAACUACAACAUGCAAGGGAUGAACAAGUCUCCCGGCGAGUUGUUUGCAAUGCUGAAAGUCGCAGAGUCUGAACUCCGUAAAGAGCAUCAAGUGUUGAUGGUCAGCAAGACCACUAGUUUCAAGAGAAACGGCAAAGGCAAGAAGGUCAAUUCGAAGAAGAGCGGCAAGCCUGUUGCCAAUCCGCCGAAGAAACCCAAGGCUGGACCUAAGCCUGAAACAGAGUGCUUCUAUUGCAAGGGUAUGGGUCACUGGAAGCGCAAUUGCCCCAAGUAUCUGGCAGAUAAGAAGGCGGGCAAAGAAAAAUCAGGUAUAUUUGAUAUACAUGUUAUUUAUGUGUACUUAACCAGCUCUCGUAGUAGUGCCUGGGUAUUCGAUACCGGUUCUGUUGCUCACAUUUGCAACUCGAAGCAGGAACUGCGGAAUAGACGGAGGCUGGCGAAAGACGAAGUGACGAUGCGUGUAGGAAACGGUUCCAAGGUUGAUGCAAUCGCCGUCGGCACCGUGUCACUUCAACUACCAUCGGGAUUAGUGAUGAACUUAAAUCAUUGUUAUUUAGUGCCUGCGUUGAGCAUGAACAUUAUAUAUGGAUCUUGUUUAUUGCGAGACGGUUACUCUUUUAAGUCUGAGAAUAAUGGUUGUUCUAUUUCUAUGAGUAACAUCUUUUAUGGUCAUGCACCGAAUGUGAGAGGAUUGUUCAUAUUGAAUCUUGAUAGAGAUACGCAUAUACAUAACAUUGAGAUCAAAAGAGUUAGAGUAAACAAUGAUAGCGCCAUAUUUUUGUGGCACUGCCGCUUGGGUCAUAUUGGUGUAAAGCGCAUGAAGAAACUCCAUGCUGAUGGACUUUUGGAGUCACUUGACUUUGAUUCACUUGACACGUGCGAACCAUGCCUCAUGGGCAAGAUGACUAAAACUCCGUUCUCCGGAACAAUGGAGCGUGCAAGUGACUUGUUGGAAAUCAUACAUACCGAUGUGUGUGGUCCGAUGAGCGUGGAGGCACGCGGCGGAUAUCGUUAUUUUCUCACCUUCACUGACGAUUUAAGUAGAUAUGGUUAUGUCUACUUGAUGAAGCACAAGUCUGAAACAUUUGAAAAGUUCAAACAAUUUCAGAGUGAAGUGGAAAAUCAUCGUAACAAGAAGAUCAAGUUCCUACGGUCUGAUCGUGGGGGUGAGUAUCUGAGUUUCGAGUUUGGUGCUCACUUAAGACAAUGUGGAAUUGUUUCGCAGUUAACACCGCCUGGAACACCACAGCGUAAUGGUGUGUCCGAACGUCGUAAUCGUACUUUGUUAGAAAUGGUGCGAUCUAUGAUGUCUCUUACUGAUUUGCCGUUAUCGUUUUGGGGUUAUGCAUUAGAAAUAGCUGCAUUCACUUUAAAUAGGGCACCAUCAAAAUCCGUUGAGACGACACCAUACGAACUGUGGUAUGGCAAAAGACCAAAGUUGUGGUUUCUUAAAGUUUGGGGAUGUGAUGCUUAUGUCAAAAAGCUUCAGCCUGAGAAGCUGGAACCCAAAGCGGAAAAGUGCGUCUUCAUAGGUUACCCAAAAGAGACAGUUGGGUACACCUUCUAUCUCAAAUCCGAGGGCAAAGUGUUUGUUGCUAAGAACGGAACUUUUCUCGAGAAGGAGUUUCUCUCGAGAGAAUUGAGUGGGAGGAAGAUAGAACUUGACGAGGUUGUCGAACCUCUCAUCCCUCUGGAUGGUGGCGCAGGGCAAGGGGAAACCCCUGUGAUUGCGACGCCGGUUGAGGAGGAAGUUAAUGAUGAUGAUCAUGAAACUCCAGUUCAAGUUUCUGUUGAACCACGCAGGUCGACGAGAUCACGCGCUGCUCCAGAGUGGUACGGUAAUCCCGUCUUGACAAUCAUGUUGUUAGACAACAAUGAACCUGCAAAUUAUGAAGAAGCAAUGGUGGGCCCAGAUUCCAACAAAUGGCUAGAAGCCAUGAAAUCCGAGAUAGGAUCCAUGUAUGAGAACAAAGUAUGGACUUUGGAGAUACUACCUGAGGGCCGCAAGGCAAUUCAGAACAAAUGGAUCUUUAAGAAGAAGACGGACGCUGACGGUAAUGUGACCGUUUAUAAAGCUCGACUUGUGGCAAAGGGUUUUUCACAAGUUCCAGGAAUUGACUACGAUGAGACUUUCUCUCCCGUAGCAAUGCUUAAGUCCGUCAGAAUCAUGUUAGCAAUAGCUGCAUUUUUCGAUUAUGAAAUUUGGCAGAUGGAUGUCAAAACGGCGUUCCUUAACGGUUUUCUUAAGGAAGAGUUGUAUAUGAUGCAACCCGAAGGUUUUGUCGAUCCUAAAAAUGCUGACAAGGUGUGCAAGCUCCAGCGAUCCAUUUAUGGACUGGUGCAAGCAUCUCGGAGUUGGAACAAACGCUUUGAUGAGGUGAUCAAAGCAUUUGGGUUUAUACAAGUGGUUGGAGAAUCUUGUAUUUACAAGAAAGUGAGUGGGAGCUCUGUGGCGUUUCUAAUAUUAUAUGUGGAUGACAUAUUACUGAUUGGAAACAACGUAGAGCUUUUGGAGAGCAUAAAAGGUUACUUGAAUAAAAGUUUCUCUAUGAAGGACCUAGGAGAAGCUGCUUACAUUCUGGGCAUUAAGAUCUAUAGGGAUAGAUCAAAACGCCUGAUAGGACUUUCACAAAGCACAUACCUUGAUAAAGUUUUGAAGAGGUUUAAAAUGGAACAGUCCAAGAAAGGGUUCUUGCCAGUGUUACAAGGUACGAGAUUGAGUAAGACUCAGUGCCCAGCAACUGAUGAAGAUAGAGAGCAUAUGCGCUCCGUCCCAUAUGCUUCAGCCAUAGGCUCUAUCAUGUAUGCAAUGCUGUGCACUAGACCGGAUGUUAGCCUGGCCAUAAGUAUGGCAGGCAGGUUCCAGAGUAAUCCAGGAGUGGAUCACUGGACAGCGGUCAAGAAUAUCCUGAAGUACCUGAAAAGGACUAAGGAGAUGUUUCUCGUGUAUGGAGGUGACGAAGAGCUCGCCGUAAAAGGUUACGUCGACGCAAGCUUUGACACAGAUCCGGACGACUCUAAGUCGCAAACCGGAUACGUAUUUAUUCUUAAUGGGGGUGCAGUAAGCUGGUGCAGUUCCAAGCAAAGCGUCGUAGCAGAUUCUACAUGUGAAGCGGAGUACAUGGCUGCCUCGGAGGCGGCUAAGGAGGGUGUCUGGAUGAAGCAGUUCAUGACGGAUCUUGGAGUGGUGCCAAGUGCACUGGAUCCAGUAACCUUGUUCUGUGAUAACACUGGUGCCAUUGCCUUAGCAAAGGAACCAAGGUUUCACAAGUAGACCAGACACAUCAAACGACGCUUCAACCUCAUCCGCGACUACGUCGAGGAGGAGGACGUAAAUAUAUGCAAAGUGCACACGGAUCUGAAUGUAGCAGACCCGCUGACUAAACCUCUUCCACGGCCAAAACAUGAUCGACACCAGAACUGUAUGGGUGUUAGAUUUAUUACAAUGUAAUUCACAUGGUGAUGUGAGGGCUAGAUUAUUGACUCUAGUGCAAGUGGGAGACUGUUGGAAUUAUGCCCNNNNNNNNNNNNNNNNNNNNNNNNNNNNNNNNNNNNNNNNNNNNNNNNNNNNNNNNNNNNNNNNNNNNNNNNNNNNNNNNNNNNNNNNNNNNNNNNNNNNAAGCUUUGUUGUCUUGUUGGGAGCCUCCAAACUUUGUGUGGAGAUAGCCCCAACCUUGUUUGUAAAGGUCUAGUAGCCGCCUUCAAGGGAACCACUAGUGGAAUCAUGGCAUCUCGCAUUCUGUGAGGGCGUGAGGAGAAUAUGGUGGCCCUAAUGGCUUCUUGUGGAGCAUUGUGCCUCCACACCGCUCCAACGGAGACGUACUUCCUGUCAAAGGGAAGGAACUUUGGUAACACAUCCUCGUCUCCACCAGCUCCACUUGUGGUUAUCUAUUACCUUUACUUUCUGCUUGCUAUUGUUGAGUAGUAUUUCUUGCUUGCACUUGUUUUUGUUGUUGUUAGCAUCAUAUAGGUUGCUCACCUAGUUGUUCAUCUAGAGAACCUGAUGGGGUUAUAGUCCCAGGGUAGGGUCAUAGGCCUGCCCUAUAGAUCCUACCCAAGGACUACCCUUCAUAGAGGGCAAGGCCCUUAGACAGUUUCGACUGAACUAAGGACCCCCAUCAUCUAGUCGGUGACGAGCAUUCGGAGCAUAUNNNNNNNNNNNNNNNNNNNNNNNNNNNNNNNNNNNNNNNNNNNNNNNNNNNNNNNNNNNNNNNNNNNNNNNNNNNNNNNNNNNNNNNNNNNNNNNNNNNNUAAAAGAGCGCUACUGAUAUUCGAACCAGCAACCUCUCAGAGAUAUUUUAGUGUUGCAACCACUCCGCCACCCCAACAGUAUGGGAUAGAAAUGAACUUUUUACUUGCUUUAUUCUUUAUUUUCCCUUUUAUUUUUUUCUUAAUUGUUUUCCUUUUUCAUCCUGGUUGGUUGAUUUCUUUUUGGAAAUAUGUAAAUCUCUCCCUAAUAAUAAAGCAAAUAGGGUUUCUGGUCGUCCAAUGUGGCAUUUUUGUGAAAAAAUCCCUGUCUUUUUACGUAAUUAACCCGUCGUCCCUCUUUAAGUGACUAACCAGGAAAACGUUUCGUUCUUACAAAAAGAACCUUGCGUUUUGGAGUAUUCCACCUGAGAUCCUUCUCUUAAGAUAAGGUUUCGUUUCUGGCGUGUGGCCUGCACCACCUCCGUCCGACGCCCCUCCCAUCCCACGCUCGCUUCCCGCACCUCCGCGCCCACUCGCAGCCAUCCCCCGGCCCCGUCACCGCCGAGCCGCCGCCCCGCCCCGCUGCUCGACGUGCUGAGGCGGUCCCUCCUCGACACGCUCGCGGUGCUCAGGAAGCCCGCGCUGGCGCUCCUCCUGGCCGGCGCGCUGCUCGCGGCCGCGGCGCCCCACCACGCGGCGCUGGCCGUGUCCGGCGGCCGCGUCGGCGGGUCCGCCUUCUCCUCCCGCUCCUCCCCGUCCCCCCUCCAAAGGGUACACCACGCCGGCGCCGAUACAACUCCUACAGACGCUCCCGCUCCCUCUCCAGCCGCGACGACCUGAGGGGCGGCGCAGGAGGAGGGAGGCCGCCUCCAUCUGGCAGUCGCCGGUCGUGCUCGCGUGGAGGGAGGGAGGCUGCCNNNNNNNNNNNNNNNNNNNNNNNNNNNNNNNNNNNNNNNNNNNNNNNNNNNNNNNNNNNNNNNNNNNNNNNNNNNNNNNNNNNNNNNNNNNNNNNNNNNNAGCACAGUAGCAGUAAGUAUUUCCCUCAGUUUGAGAACCAAGGUAUCAAUCCAGUAGGAGUAUCAAGCCAAGUCUCCAAAGUACCUACACAAAAACAGCAAACUUGCACCCAACGCUACAAAGGGGUUGUCAAUCUCUUCACGAUUGAUUGCAAGGUGAGAUCUGAAGGCGGAAAGUGCAACAAAGUAAACUGUAAGGCUGAAAAUAUGAUGUGAAGUAGACCCGGGGGCCAUAGUGUUCACUAGAGGCUUCUCUCAUGAUAGUGAAUAUUACGGUGGGUGAACAAAUUACCGUCGAGCAAUUGAUAGAACCGCGCAAAGUCAUGAUGAUAUCUAAGGCAAUGAUCAUACAUAUAUGCAUCACGUCUGAGACAAGUAGACCGAUACUUUCUGCAUCUACUACUAUUACUCCACACAUCGACCGCUAUCCAGCAUGCAUCUAGUGUAUUGAGUUCAUAACAAACAGAGUAACACCUUAAGCAAGAUGUCAUGAUGUAGAGGGAUAAAUUCAUGCAAUAGAUAUAAACUCCAUCUUUUUACCCUUGAUGGCAACAACAUGAUGCGUGCCUCGCUACCCCUUCUGUCACUGGGUGACGUCACCGCACGGUAUGAACCCAAAACCAAGCACUUCUCCCAUUGCAAGAACAGUAGAUCAAGUUGGCCAAACGAAACCCACAACUCGAAGAGAAUUACAAGGACAUGAAAUCAUGCAUAUAAGAGAUCAGAAGAAACUCAAAUACGAUUCAUAGAUAAUCUGAUCAUAAAUCCAGAAUUCAUCGGAUCUCGACAAACACACCGCAAAAGAAGAUUACAUCGGAUAGAUCUCCAUGAAGAUCAUGNNNNNNNNNNNNNNNNNNNNNNNNNNNNNNNNNNNNNNNNNNNNNNNNNNNNNNNNNNNNNNNNNNNNNNNNNNNNNNNNNNNNNNNNNNNNNNNNNNNNAGGUGCGGUAAUCGAGGCGGCAGAAACUACUCGAUGACGAUGUCGACAUCCCCACUAAGCGCGCGGCAACCAAAAUUUGAAGAUCCUAGAAAAUCCGCCGCUGUCAGUUUGACCGGUCACAUCGAAAGAUUCCGCGGAAGCACUCGGUCCCUGACGGUUCGUUUCACUGGUAUAUUCACUCGGAUCACUGGUCGAAAGGAUAAAAUGGAUCGAGGCAAACAACGCCAAAGUCACAUCCAUACCAGUCGGAUCCGUACUCCAGGCACCACUUCGUCAUUCCAACCCCGAUCCAUUCGAGGACUAAUGAUGGGGUUAUAGUCCGAGGGUAGGGUCAUAGGCNUUAAGAAAAGCUAAAAAUUGGUAGUUGCCCAUUCACUCCCCCCUCUACUCAACCAUAUCGAUCCUUUCAAUUGGUAUCAGAGCCUUGUCUCUUUAUUAAGGGUUUCACCACCCGAAGAGUAUGGUUGAUGAUGGUGUUAGUGGCGAUGAAGUUCUCGAGGUCGUGGAGUUGAGUUCGAUCACACGUGAUGACUUGAAUGAGGCUAUGACCUAACUCAAUACAUCCAUGACUAUCGAAGUCAAGUUCAUGCUUAAAGAAUUGCUUGAGGGGUUGAAGAGUUCUCCUGAUCCGUUGCUUGUGGCUAAACCCACCACAUCGGGGUCGGAGGCCAAUUCCAAAAAGGAUGCGGCUAUAGGUACUCAACCUUCUUCCCCUCUUGACAAGAAUGGGACGGGAACCUUUGCCUGGGUUCCUCCUCACCCGGUCUACGGAGGACCGGUCCCUACAUCGCAUAUUAAUAACCUUGGUCCUCCUCCUAAGCUUGUUAAAGGUAAUUUUGCUAAUUGGGUUUUUCGCAUCUAGUCUCAUUUGAAUCACAGCUCAACAAAUCUGUGGAGAAUCAUUGGACAAGGCUUCUACCCACAUGAUCCAAGCAACUUCACUCCAAGAGAAGAGGCGGACCGUGGACAAUCAAUAUAAUCAUUCCACGUUGUUCAUCCUUCAAUCAGCAGUUCCUCCCGAUGAUCUAUCUCACUUGCUCCCCUUCACUCGUGCCAAGGAUUGCUGGGAGCACAUCAUGGUGUUGUACAAGGGGAGCUCAAUCAUUCAACAGUCCAACUUUGAAGUGGUACUUGAUGAGGCCGAUGAGUUUGUGAUGCUAGAAGAUGAGGAUCCCCAUGAUCUCUAUCGAAGGGUGACUCCUCUUGAUGUUGCUCUCCAAGAUCAUGGGAGCAAGGAUAAUGAUGACAAUUGGAUCAAGAGUAAGUUUCUCAAGGCCAUCAUGCCAUUCAACAAAGCCAUGUCUUCUGUAAUCUGUCAAAGGCCGGAUUUCCACUCGUUGACCUCAAGUGAAGUAUUGGAUGAGCUCAUUGCCAUGAAUAUCAUGAACAAGACCGCCGACAAUGCUCUAGCUCAUGUCCGGUCAAACAAAGCCUCGCCCAACCUUGCCUUGAAAGCCAAGGCACUUUUGGAUGAAGAAAUGGAAGAGGAAGAAGAGGGUUGCCUCGAAGACACAAAGUAUGCUUAUCACGAGCACAUGGCUCUUGCAUUAAGGCAAUUUUGGGGCAACAAGAGAAAUUCAAGGCCCAACUUCUCCAAGAACAACUCUAGUGGGUCCAAGAACACGCAACAAGUGAGGACAUGCUACAAUUGCAGCAAUGUGAGUCACUUUGUGGUGGAUUGUCCUUAUGAGAAGAGGGAAGACAACGGGGGUAAGCUCAUUCGCAAAGACAAAGCCAAGUCUUCCCCAAGCAAGAAAAAUUCACCAAGAAGGCUCCUUCAAAGGGUUUGGUGGCACUUGAAGAGUACACCUCCGAUGAUGACGAGGAUGAUACAAGCCGUGAGGGUAUGGCAACGGCUACCGUGGCCAUUGCCACCUCCUCCCCCAAGGUGUCUCUCUUCGGCGCCUCCAACGAGAACUGCAUCGCCAAGUGCCUUAUGGCCAAAGGUAUCAAUAAGGUAAACCCCGACAUCAAGACCACUAUCACUAAUGCUCCUUCAUUGUUAGAUUGUGUUGAUGAUAGUGAAGUAGUGGAGCUUGAUGAGAAUGAAUUUGACAAAUUCUUGUGUAAGAUCAAAGGUGAAUCCAAGAAGCACUUUGUUGCUCUUUUGGAACAACUUGGUGAGGCCAAUGAUCUCAUUGAGUCUCAUGAGGAUACUAUCUCCAAGAUGGAGGGACAUAGUUGUGAAUAUGCCGAUGAGAUUGUGGAACUCCAUUGCUCUAGAGGAAGAGUGUGGUCUUCGUUUGGCUCUUGAGGAGUCACACAACAUUGAUUGUGCUAAAUUGCAAAAAGAGCUUGAUCACGCUAUUGUUCUUACACGUGUGCUUAAGACCGAGAAAGUUGCACUUGGGGUUGGUCAUGAUAGACUCAAGGAAUAAUUUGACACACUUGACAAGGCCCACGAAGUCUUGAAAGGUGUUCAUUCCUCUCUUGAGGAGUCUCAUGACCAACUCCAAGUAAAACUAACCAAGGAGAUCUCUACUUGUCCUCCCUUCGUUCUAAUUGAUAAUGCUUGUGCUACUAACCCUUGUUGUGAGCAUGUGCAUCUUGUGGAGGAAAAUGCCAAGUUGAAAGAACAACUAGAGAAGGGCCUUGUGUCAUGCACCCAAGGUGAAAAGAACCUAAAUGACCUUUUGAGUAAUCAAAAGGAAGUUGUAGGAAAGGAGGGACUUGGAUUUGCACCCAAGUCUAAGAAGAAAAAGAAGAACAAUACAAAGUGUUCUCCUCCUCUCAAGGACAUUUUGUCAAAGAGGGUGAGAGUACUCAUGAGGAGAAGAAGAACAAGGAAGGGGGUGGAAAUGCCAAGAAGGGCAAAACCGUCCCUACCAACAAAGCCGGCGACUUUAACCCCUCUUAUGUUUUAUGACAUGCUAGUUAUGGUCAUGUUUAUGCUAAAUUUCUUAGUUCUUAUUAUGAGUACAUUGAAUGGGGUAUUUGGGUUCCUAAGACCCUUGUUUCUAACUUCAAAGGACCCAUUAUGAAAUGGGUACCUAAAUCCAAGGAUUGAUCUAUUGUAGGAGUUUGCUUCUGGUGGGGUGUCAUGGUUGCUCGACAGUGGAGCCACAAAUCAUAUGACCGGGAGCAAGACUUGGUGGUGGAUGUGCAUCCAAUUCCAUCUAUGCCCACCCAUGUCCAAUGUGUCGAUGCCUCGACAUCUAAGGUAUUGGGAUUUGUCAAUAUGGUCAUCUCUCAAGAUUUAUCUAUACAUAAGGUUAUGCUUGUUGAGUCCCUUGCAUACAAUUUGCUUUUUGUUCAUCAACUUGCAAUUAUGGGCUCUGCCACAUUCUUUAGUCUUGAUACCGUGGCCCUUUUGUGGAGCAAGACUCUUAAAGUAGCCUAUGUUGGACAUGUCAAAAAUGGUCUCUAUGUGGUGAACCUUUUGGAGCGACCCACUAAGACUGCGACUUGUCUAAUGUCUAAACUUAACGUGGGUUGGCUUUGGCAUCAUCGGCUAGCCCAUGUCAAUAUGAAAUCUUUCCAAAGUAUCCUCAAAGGUGACCAUGUUCGUGGACUAACAAAUGUGAGUUUUGCUAGUCACCGUGCUUGUAGUGCUUGUAUUGAAGGAAAGCUUCAUGAAAUGGCUCACCGUCCCACGACUAUCAUCUACUCUAAGAGGCCCUUGGAGCUCCUUCACAUGGAUCUCUUUGGUCCUCCAUUCUUUGAUAGUCUUGGGGGUAGGAAGUAUUGCUUGGUGAUUGUGGAUGAUUGCUCAAGAUGCACUUGGGUGUACUUGUUCAAAAGGAAGAGUGGGACUCAACAAACCGUCAUCAACUUUGCUAAUGAAGCUCACCGUCAACAUAAAGCAAAGACUUUGAUGAUUAGAAGUGACAACGGCAUCGAGUUCAAGAACUACACCAUGGAUGAAUUCCUUAGUGACGAUGGGAUCAAGCACCAAUAUUUGGCACUCUAUACCCCUCAACAAAAUGGUGUGGCAUACAGGAAGAACUGGACAUUGAUGGACGCGGCAAGAACCAUGAUGGCGGAGUUCAAAUCUCCGUACAACUUUUGGGCGGAAGCCAUCAACACAGCAUGUCAUGCAUCCAAUCGGAUCUACCUCCGCAAAGGAUUGAACAAGAGUCCAUAUGAGAUUCCUACCGAGAACAAGCUCAACCUCAAGUACUUCAGCGUGUUCGGGUGUAAGUGUUUCAUUCUCAAGAAAGGUGUUCGUUUGUCUAAAUUCGAUUGUAGAGCUCAAGAGGGCCUAUUUUUUGGUUAUGCUACAAACUCUCAUGCUUAACGUGUCCUCAACAAGUCCACCGAACUCAUUGAGGAGACGUGUAACGUAGAGUUUGAUGAAAAUAAUGGCUCACAAGUAGAGAAAAGUGGUCUUUGUGAUAUAGGUGAUGAAAUUCCUCCUUGAGCCAUAAGAAGAAUGGGGAUUGGUCAAAUACUUCCCAUUGAGGAACCCCUUGUGGCUGAAGGAGAAGGACAAUGCUCUACUCAAGUGGAGCCAUCACCCUCACUAGACCUAGACAUUUCUGAAGAACAAAGUGAAGGCCCUCAACCCGUUGAACAAGGUCAAGGACAAGAUCAACCUCCUGAAGAUGGUGAUGCACCAAAUGAUGUCCAAGAUCAUGCUCAAGAUUCCGAGCUUGCUCAAGAUCAAGUGCAUUCAGAAGAUCAAGGGCAAACUUGUGAGCAAGCUCAAGGCGGUGCUCAAGAUAAUCAAGUUGUUGAUCCUCAAUUACCUAGCGCAAAACUCUUGGAGCGUCGCACUGCCAAGGUGGCCUCCAUGCUCAGGGUUUGACAACAUCUCAUGAAAAAUGUGCUUGGAAUCUUGAAAAAAGGGGUAACUACUCAUCAACAAUUAUCAAACUUUUGUGAGCAUCACACGUUUGUUUCGUAUGUUGAACCCGAAAAGGUACAUGAAGCGCUCGAUGAUGAGGAUUGGCUUGGAGCCAUGCAUGAUGAACUUAGCAACUUCGAGCGCAAUCAAGUUUGGGAAUUAGUGCCAAGGCCAACGGAGGAACGUAAUGUCAUUGGGACCAAAUGGAUCUUCAAGAACAAGCAAGAUGUGAAUGGCGUUGUGGUUCGAAACAAGGCAAGACUGGUGGCUCAAGGCUACUCCCAAGUCGAGGGUAUCGACUAUGGUGAAACCUUUGCCCAUGUUGCUUGUCUUGAAUCUAUUAGCAUGCUGCUUGCAUUUGCAUCUCAUCAUAAUUUCAAAUUUCAACAAAUGGAUGUGAAGAGUGCAUUUCUUAAUGGUCCCUUGAAUGAGUUGGUAUAUGUCAAACAACCCCCGGGAUUCUAGCAUCCCAAGCUCCCCAAUCAUGUAUACAAACUCAAGAAGGCGCUCUACGGCCUUAAACAAGCCCCACAUGUGUGGUAUGAGUACCUUACUGAGUUGUUGCUAGAUCGUGGGUUUGAAAUUGGGAAAAUUGAUCACACCCUUUUUACCAAAAGGGUCAAAGGGGAUUUGUUCAUAUGCCAACUAUAUGUUAACGAUAGUAUAUCUGGUUCUCCUAACAAAUCAUUCAAUGAAGAUUAUACUACACUAAUGACCUAGAAGUUUGAGAUGUCUAUGAUGGGAGAGUUGAAGUUCUUUAUUGGGUUCGAAGUCAAGCAAUGAAGAGAAGGAACGUUCAUCAACCAAGCCAAGUACACCCAAGACAUGAUGAAGAGGUUCGAGCAAGAGGACGUCAAGCCAGUCAAGUUUCCCAUGCCAACCAAAUGCAAGCUUGACAAUGAUCCCAAUGGUAAAGAAGUGGAUCAAAAGGCAUAUCGCUCCAUGAUUGGAUCCUUGCUCGACCUUUGUGCAUCUAGACUGGAUAUCAUGUUGAGUGUGGGAAUUUGUGCACAGUUUCAAUCCGCACAAAAGGAAAGCCACUAUGCGGCAGUCAAACGAAUCUUUCGAUAUUUGGCUCAUACCCCAAACUUUGGCUUAGGGUACCCCAAAGGAGCAGGCUUUAAUAUAGUGGGCUACUCUGACUCAGAUUGGGCUGGAGACUGUGUGGGGAGGAAGUCAACUUCUGGAGGAUGUCAAUUCCUUGGUCGUUCUUUGGUAAGUUGGUCUUCAAAGAAGCAAAAUAUUGUGUCACUGUCUUCCACCUAGGCUGAGUAUGUUGCUGCAGCAAGUUGUUGUGCUCAAUUGCUAUGGAUGAGGCAAACUUUAAAGGAUUGUGGUGUCACUUGUGACAAAGUGCCUCUUCUAUGUGACAAUGAAAGUGCUAUCAAGAUUUCUAUCAAUCCGGUGCACCAUAGCAAGACCAAGCAUAUUGAUAUUCGUCAUCAUUUCAUUCAAGAUCAUAUCAAGCAUGGAGAUAUUGAGGUCAUCUACAUCAACACUCAAGAGCAACUUGCGGAUAUUUUCACAAAGCCUCUAGAUGAAGCAAGGUUUCGCGAGUUAAUGCAUGAUCUAAAUAUCAUUGAUUCAAGCAAUGUGUAUUGAAACUAGGCACACAACACCACACUCAUCAUGAUAUCUAGCUCUAGGUGUAGGCAUGCACAUAGGGGGAGUGUUGUCAUAUCAAUGAACUCCCCCCCCCCCAUUAUGCAUAAAUCGAUCACGUCUUUCACAUUAGCCUUUGUUGAUGGCACUUGUGCUUCAAAGUCGAGCUUUGGAAAUGAACCCAAGGAUAAUUAUUCACGGUGUAAUACCAAUUGUCUCAAACACAGGUGGUUCCGGCCACCGCCCCCUCUUCAUAAGAAGAUUCGGUUCAGCGUUUGUUGUUCGUGUUUGAUUUGUGUUGUUCGUGCUGAAAGGAUCCAUAUGGUUGACUAGAGGGGGGUGAAUAGGCAAAUACCAAUUUUUAGCACUUCUUAACAAGUUAGAGAAAGCAACACAAAGGUUCUCUAAAUUAACUACUAGGUGAGCAACCAAUAUGAUGCUAACUACCAUGAUAACUAGUGCAAGAAAGAAAUACACAACAACAAUAAUAUACAUAAAGUAAAGGUAAGAGAUAACCGCAAGUGGAACCGAUGAAGACGAGGAUGUGUUACCGAAGUUCCUUCCAUUUGACAGGAAGUGCGUCUCCGUUGGAGCGGUGUGGAGGCACAAUGCUCCCUAAUAAGCCACUGGGGCCACCAUAUUCUCCUCACACCCUCACAUAAUGUGAGGUGCCAUGAUUCCACUAUUGGUGUCCUUGAAGGCGGCGACCGGACCUUUACAAACAAGGUUGGAGCUAUCUCCACACAAUGCUCGGAGGCUCCCAACAAGACCACGAAGCUUCACCAUAAUGGAUAUGGCUCCGAGGUGACCACAACCGUCUAGGGUGCUCAAACACCCAAGAGUAACAAGAUCCGCAAGGGAUUGGUGGGGGGAAUCAAAUAUCUCUUGGUGGAAGUGUAGAUCUUGGCCUUCUCAACCAAUCCCUAGGAAAUCAACAAGUUUGAUUGGCUAGGGAGAGAGAUCGGGCACGAAUGAGCUUAGGAGCAACAAUGGAGUCUUGGAAGGUCAAAGGUAGGGUUCUUGGAGUGUAUGAACCGUUUAUAUAGUGAGGGAACAGAUCCAACCGUUACCCCCGCUUACAACACUGAUACGUCCAAAAUGUAUCUAUAAUUUCUGCUUGUUCCAUGAUCUUUUGGGUGACAUUGUUAUAUGUUUUGCUACACUUUUAUAUCAUUUUACACAUAUUUGGACUAACCUACUAACUCAGUGCACCCAGUGCCAGUUUCUAUCUGCUGAUGUCUAUUUUGCAGGGGCUUUUACCCAAUUUUCUGAAGCCCGAAAAAUUCCAAGAAAAUAUAUAAAAAAUCAGCACACGAAAGCUUGCAGAUCAUCGAAGAUGGGCCAGAGGGGGGCCAGGGGCCUCCCAGGCGACCUGUGGGCGUGACCCACCCCUAGGCCGCGCCGGAAGGCCGCCUGGGUGGGUCCCACGCCCUUUGGUGCCCUCCUUCGGCCUAUAUUUACUCUUUUGAGAGAAAACCCUUCCAGAAGAUCCGGAAUCGUGAAUUUCUCCAUCGUUCCGCCGCUGCAGCGCUUCCGAGAUCGGGAACUUCAGGAGACCUCUUCCCGGCACCCUGCCGGAGGGAGGAUUGACCUCCAAGAGCUUCUCCACUGCCAUGGACGCUUCCCGGACGUGCCGUGAGUAGUCCUCCUUGGACCAUGAGUCCAUGACCAGUAGCUAUGUGAUGUCUUCUCUCAAAUCUUGUGCUUCAAUGGUUAGUCCUUGUGAGCUGCCCUACAUGAUCAAGGCAUCUAUGUAAUUCUCUUGCUAUUGCUAUGCUCGGUUUGUUGGGAUCCGAUGGAUUAUGAGAUUAUGUUCAGAUUGUUAUGAGUUAUACAUUUGAUUAUCCUUUUAUAUUAUGUUCCUUAGUGAUUCAUGCAUGUUCUCCGUUGCUAUUUAUUGCUUUGGCCGAGUAGUAGAUUGUAACUCCAAGAGGGAGCGUUAUGCAUGAUUGUGGGUUCAUGCCCCUCGAUGUCUAGCUUGAGUGACAGAAACAUGAGACUAGGGGAUGUGUUGUUGCCAUCAGGGAGAAAACAACGGUGCUUAUGACCAUGGUUGCAAGGAUUGCUUAUUUUACCCAUAGUUCGUUAAUGCAAUUGUCCGUUGCUUUGAGUUUACACUUUGGGUGGGGCUCGCAACUCAAUACCGGCACGAUGUUCUGGAUAGAUAUCUCAAGGUGGAUGAUUAGUAAGUAGAUGUUGAUGAAUAAACGGUCUACUUUUCUUGGCAUACUGCCCGUUACUAUUGAACCUCUAACUAUCAAGUAGCAUAAUUAGCAUUGCGGUGCGUUCAUAAUUAUGUCAAUUUCCCAACUGUAAUUUAUUUACCCAAGCAUAGUUGUUUAUCGUCUUUUGGGAGAGAGGCAUCCCUAGGCAACAUCAUGUGACUCCGGUCCAUAUCACCAUCAUUGUUUACACCUCCAUCAUUUACCGUUUUCAUUUACUUUUCCGUUGCAAUCACUAUUACUUUUCCCGCUUGUGUUUUGAUCCUUUGCAAACUACAAGGAUGGAGAGAUUGACAACCUCUCUGUACUCGUUGGGAGCAAAGUUAUUAGUUGUGUGUGCAGGUCCACGUCUUCUGCUGACCAGGACAGGAGAAACCUACUUGUUGAUCCUAGGAGUCCUCCUGGUUUGAUAAACCUUACAGUCUCUGUGUAAGGGAAAACUUGCUGCUGACUACAUCUCAACCUUCCACUUGGGGUAACCAACGAGGUGCGAGAAGUAUAUACAUCAUCUCCUCAUCAAGCACCCGCAACACGAUAUACCGCUUGGGGGUAGCGGUACUACCGCUUGGUAGGGAGUGGUACUACCGCUAGCCCCAGCGGUACUACCGCUAGGCCUGGAGCGGUACUACCGCUUGGUAGGCACAUAGCCACGGUAGUAAAAACACUACUACCGGGCCUACCACCGCUGGAAAAGUAUUUGUAAAAAAGUCCGACAAAGUACAACCGCUCAGAGAGAGAGGUACUACCAUCCCGAAGCGGUACUACCGCCCAUCCGGAGCGGCACUACCGCUCAGCGAGCGAUACUACCGCUGGACCUUUUUGCAGAGACACGGAGAUAACAUGUGGGAGCUCCAUUGCUGCAAGCAAAAGGUGGUGGAAAGAAAAAGUGUGUGUGUGUGUUGAUUCCACCCAAACCUUUCCGACGCGGACCCCCUCUUAAUAGUACAGCUUUCCUACGACUCAAAACCACCAAAGAAAACCGUAGAAUCCACCGUGCUUCAAAACCACAGAGGGGCGAUGAAUUGUCUUGUGCCUUGCCAUGUAUUAUCUGAAAUGUUCAAUGCACACGAUUAGUCCACAGAGGUAGUGUCAUCAAUCACCAAAAUCACUUAGGACGAAAUAUGCCCUAACACGUGCUCUUUGGUGUGUUUCUUAUUUUUUUGCAAAGCCCGAACCUAUCUUUUCAUGACCGAGCGGUACUACCGUGGAUUGUCACGGUACUACCUUUGGAGAGGGCACGGUACUACCGCGUCCAGCACGACAGUAAUUUUUUACUGCCGUUGGGCGAGCGGUUGUAAUUUUUUUACUACCGCUGUCCAGGCGGUACUACCGCGAUAACCUGUGGUACUACCACUCCCUCGGGACCACGAGGGGUUAUAUACGGGCGGGGGGUUUCUUCUCCCCAUACUCAUUCAUCCCCUCCCCUCGUGGCUCUCUCUCUCCACUCACGGAACGGCGCCGGAAGACCUUGCCGGAUCUCCCUCUUCGGCCACUCUCCUUCCAUUCCGCUUGGUGGGAUCGUCUUCCUCCUCUCCCUCGUGCAAUGGAACCCGGUAUUGCCCCUAGUUCAUCUCUCUUUGCUUGUAUUUUGUUGGAUCUAGGGUUAGGGGCAUAUGAGUUGGUUUCACCGUUUUGUGUCCCAAAUCUUUUCAUAAGGGGAUGGUUUGGAGAGUGCUUGUGUGGUAGGAAUGAUACUUAGUAGGAUACAAUGUGGUAGUUUGGAUCUACGGUAGUACCGAUCUGGAUUUUGGUGGUCAGAUCAGGUGGUUUUCGCCCCAUGCGGUACUACCGCUCCUCCUGGAGCGGUACUACCGUAGGGGCACGGUAGUAAAAAAUUACUACCGCAUGACCGGCGGUACUACUGCACCUACUGGAGCGGUACUACCGCGGCCAGCGCGGUAGUAAAAUUUAACUACCGCUUGACCUGCGGUACUACCACUCAACCCUAAAUUACCAUGUUUUGUCCUUCUAAUUCUCAUUUCUAUGGGGUUCUUUGGUUUGCUUUGGUCUUUGCAUUGACUUCUUUCGAUUCUCUCGUGUUCUUGCGUUGUGUGUCAUAGGUGUUGGCUCCAGGUGCUUGAAUCCUUCUCGAGAGACCAACUCCAAGCACUUUCGCAAUCAAGAGGAGGCACCUAAGGGAUCCCAUGCUCGGAAGCGCAACUUCAAGAGGCCUGCCAACAAUAAUAAGGAACAAACCGUAAGUUGGGAUGGUAUGCCACAAGCUGAGUUCUGGAUUUGCCGGAAGCGCGAUUCCUAUGUCAUCGAAAGGGUUCAUCUCAAGGGUUGUUAGCUUUUUUGGUCCAAGCAACAUGCUCUCAUCUAUCAAGAUGUAAUCAAGACCAAGAAGAAUAUAUAUGUACCUGUUCAGUGGAUUGACAUGGAUCAUCUCAAGAAGGACCCAACGUACUUUGGUGAAUAUCUGGACAUGGUGGAGCAGCUUGGGAUCAAGGAGAUCAUCUCGUUUCAGCUUGACUUUGAUCCUGAGAUUGUAGCUCAGUUCUUUGUUACCGUUCACUUUCACCCUGAUGCGACGCACACAAUGACUUGGAUGACAAGUGGGGAGAAGUUGUCUGCUACCUGGAAGGAGUUCAUGGACCUUCUGAACAUUUGUGAUGAGGGGCUUGAGCAGCCAGUUGGUUUGCGCCCACACGCGAACCCUAGUGAUGCCCCCAAGGAAAAGUUGAUGCCAUACUUUAUCGAUAAGGUGUCCUCCACUUGCGAGCCCACUCGUGUGCUGAACCCAUUUCUUGAUGUCAUGCACAGAAUCUUUUGCAACAAGUUCUUUCCUCGUGUUGUCAACAAGGACCAUGUGUGUUCCUAUCUGGUGGAUAUGCUUAUCAUGUGUGAGAAAGGGCGGGCUCGCGCUCAUGGACCGCUUGAUGUGUCCCAUGUCAUGUGGAGUGAGCUUCAGUCGGCGGUGUUUCACCGUAAGGUCCCCAUCUAUGGACCUUAUUUUUUCUACUUGAUUCGGGAGAAGUGGUCGAAAGCCUUUCCAGAUGUGGUCUUUCAUGCUCCCGACUCGAUCUGUCAUGAGCCCAUUAAGCCGCGUCAGAAGAACAAGUGGGCCAACACUACCACUACACCUGCUGCUGCCAACAUGGAGGUUGAUCACGAUGAGGCUAAGGCUGAGGCUGAGGUUGAGGAUGAGGGCAGUCUAGAGACACAUGGGCCUUCCUCUGCUCAACCAUCUUGGGCCAAGAAGCUCAGGGACAGGAUGAAGACUCUGUUUUGCAUGCAGGCUAAGGGGCAAUAUAUGACCCAUAUUGCUGAGAAGGAGAGUUGUGAGCGUGACAAGCUAAUUCUGAGGAAACUCGACGUGAACAUCUCCAGUGGGUCUGAGACGAACAUCACUCCUGAAGCUGCUUGGAUGAAGGAGAAGAACCUUCAGUGGGAUGAAUAUGAUGUGUCUGAUGAGUCUAAGGAUGAGUCUGAUGGUUGAUCUUUAUGCAGCCGGAGCUACCACUUGUAUCUUAGGUGUCCUCUCUGCCUUUUUGGUGUCUCGAUGCCAAAGGGGGAGAGAGUGUAGGAUUUGCGACUUCCUUCAUUUUCCUUGUCUGUGUGUUUGUUGAACCUUCAUCGUUGCUUUGGUUGGUUGUUUUUUUAUGUGUGAGACCUGGAGACUGAUUCUACCGUAUGGUGUGAUACAUAUGCUAUCACUCUUAUCUCAUUUAUUGUCUCAUUAUUGUCUAGUAUGUUUGUAGCUUGUGAGUCUAGUUAAUAUGUGCCCUUAUCUUCAUGCUCACAUGCUAUGCCUUGCUUCCAUGCCUAGUGUUAAUCAGUUUGUUGCAAGGAAUGCCUUGUCCAUAAAAUUUAGGGGGAGUUCUGUUCCUAGGAUGUGGGCAUUGCAGUCCAUAGCAUUUCUCUAAUAUGCACACAUCUAGGGGGAGCCUCUCUAUAUUUUAUAGAGUUUGGGUUUGCUUAUGUUUUUUGUAUAUCCUUUUGUGCAAAUCUUGUAUUGUCAUGAGUGCACCAAAAAGGGGGAGAUUGUUAGGGCAUAUUUCUCCCCAAGCAGUUUUGGUGAUUGAUGACAAUACUUCUCCGAACUAAUCGUGUGCAUUGUAAGGUGUGAACUUGAGUAAAACUCAAAGCCCGACCACGGCAGAAGAAAGAGAAAGGACGAAGGUCAUCCCCUAUGCAUUAGUCAUAGGCUCUAUAGUAAGCUAUGUUGUGUACCGCGCCUGAUGGGUGCCUUGCCAUGAAUUUGUCAAGGGGUACGAAAGUGAUACACGAAUGGAUUAUUGGACAGCGGUCAAAAGUUAUCCUUAGUAACUAGUGGACUAAGGAAUUUUUUCUCGAUUAUGGAGGUGUUAAAAGAGUUCGUCGUAAAGGGUUACGCCGAUGCAAGCUUUGACACUAAUCCGGAAAACUCUCAGUAGUAAACCGGAUUCGUAUAGUGGAGCAGUCAUUUGGAAUAGUUCCAAAAUGGCACGUUGGUAGCAGCACCUACAGGAUGACAUAGAGAUUUGUAAAGCACAUUCAGAUCUGAAAGGUUCAGACCCGUUGACUAAAACCUCUCUCACAAGCAAGACAUGAUCAAACCCCAGAACUGUAUGGGUGUUAGAUUCAUCAGAAUCACAUAGUGAUGUGAGCUAGAUUAUUGACUCUAGUGCAAGUGGGAGACUAUUGGAAAUAUGCCCUAGAGGCAAUAAUAAAUUGGUUAUUAUUAUAUUUCCUUGUUCAUGUUAAUCGUUUAUUACCCAUGCUAUAAUUGUAUUGAUUGGAAACUCAAAUACAUGUGUGGAUACAUAGACAAAACACUGUCCCUAGUAAGCCUCUAGUUGACUAGCUCGUUGAUCAAAGAUGGUUAAGGUUUCCUAGCCAUAGACAAGUGUUGUCACUUGAUAACGGGAUCACAUCAUUAGGAGAAUGAUGUGAUGGACAAGACCCAAACUAUAAGCGUAGCAUAUGAUCAUGUCAGUUUAUCGCUAUUGUUUUCUGCAUGUCAAUGUAUCUGUUCCUAUGACCAUGAGAUCAUGCAACUCCCGGACACCGGAGGAAUACCUUAUGUGUAUCAAACGUUGCAACAUAACUGGGUGACUAUAAAGGUGCUCUACAUGUAUCUCCGAAGGUGUCUGUUGGGUUGGCGUGAAUCGAGACUGGGAUUUGUCACUCCGUAUGACGGAGAGGUAUCUUGGGGCCCACUCGGUAAUACAACAUCACAAUAAGCCUCGCAAGCAAUGUGACUAAGGAGUUAGCCAUUAGGUCUUGUAUUACGAAAUGAGUAAAGAGACUUGUCGAUAACGAGAUUGAACUAGGUAUAGAUAUACUGACGAUCGAAUCUCGGGCAAGUGACAUACCGAAGGACAAAGGGAACAACAUACAGUAUUAACUGAAUCCUUGACAUAGAGGUUCAACCGAUAAAGAUCUUCGUAGAAUAUGUAGGAGCCAAUAUGGGAAUCCAGGUCCCGCUAUUGGUUAUUGACAAUAGAGGUGUCUCGGUCAUGUCUGCAUAGUUCUCGAACCUGCAGGGUCUGCACACUUAAGGUUCGAUGACGUUUCGGUAUAGUUGAGUUAUAGGUGUUGGUAAUCGAAAGUUGUUCGGAGUCACGGAUGAGAUCCCUGAUGUCAUGAGGAGCUCCGGAAUGGUCUGGAGGUAAAUAUUGAUAUAUAGGAAGUCCUGUUUUGGUCACCGGAAAAGUUUUGGACUCAUCGUUAGUGUACCGGGAGUGCCAGGAGGGUACCAGGGACCAUCGGGAGGGGUGUCACGCCCCGCGGGGCCUUAUGGGCUGUGGGAGGAUACAAACCAGCCCCUAGUGGGCUGACAUAAGCUCCAACUAAGGUCCAUGAGGUUUGAGAGGCAAAAAACCCAAAGAUGAAAAAGGUGGAAAGGGUUUCCAAGUGGAAAGGAGGAAUCCUACUCCUAGUAGGAUUGGAGUAGGACUCCUCCACCUUCAAUUUCGACCAAACCUUGAGGGUUUGAGGCUGCCUCCUCCCCUCCCUCCCUUCUAUAUAUACUAGAGGUAUUGAGGGUUUUUGAGACACAGAAAAACAGCCACGUGUUGCCCUCUCUCUCCAGAUCUGUUUCUCCUCUAGUCUAGUUUGAGCGGUGAUUAGGCGAAGCACUGCUGGAAUAGCUCCACCACCACCACCAUGCCGCCGUGCUAGAGAACUCAUCUACCUCUUCGCCCCUCUUGAUGGAUCAAGAAGGAUGAGAUCGUCAUCGAGAUGUACGUGUGUUACCGAGAGGUGCCGUCCGUUCGGCACUAGAUCGGGAUGGAUCGUGAUGGGAUCACGGGACGGAUCGUGAUGAGAUCGCGGGACGGGCUGCGAUUUGGAUCGCGAAGAUGUUCCACUACAUCAACCGCGUUAUAUACGCUUCCGCUUGGCGAUCUACAAGGGUAUGUAGAUUCACUCUCCCCACUCGUAGAUGAUCAUCACUAUGGAUAGGUAUUGCGUGUGCGUAGGAAAAUUUUUGUUUCCCAUGCAACGUUCCCCAACACACCUUUCCUUUGCUUCAAUGGAGCUCCAGUCCGUUCCCCCUUGUCUGUGCAAAGUGAAAGCAGCAAGAUGCUUGUUUUCAGUGGCCAGCGGUAGUACCGCAGGUGCGAGCGAUAGUACUUCUCCUAGCAGCGGUAGUACCGCUGUCACCAGCCUCUAUUGCAAGCACCUACAGUAGUAUGUCCGGAUGUAGUUUUUUACUACCACCCUCAAGCGGUAGUACCGCAACUAUGUCCGUUACUACCGUGCCGGACUUUUGCACAGCCGCAGUCUCAGCGGAGGUAGACAUGGAAGUAAUCUUUUACUUCCGUGGCAGUUGGACACUACCCUACGGUGGUACCGUAAGGGCGCGCAGUAGUACCGCUCCAGCGGUUCUAUCGCUCGUUGCCCCGCGCAGUAGUUCCUCCUUCUGCCACCACCGUGCGUAUGAUAGUACCGCACCUCGCAGCGGUAGUACCGCACCACAGAGCGGUAGUACCGUUGUGCUCGGGCUGACAGUGGGUGUAACGGUUGGAUUCUUUCCCCCGCUAUAUAAAGGGGGUCUUCUUCCCCAAGAAGACCACCUCUACCUUUCCCAAGCUCCAUUGUUGCUCCAAAGCUCAUUUUCGCCCGAUCUCUCUCCCUAGCCAAUCAAACAUGUUGAUUUUCUAGGGAUUGGUUGAGAAGGCCCAGAUCUACACUUCCACCAAGAGAUAUUUGAUUCCACCCACUAAUACCUUGUGGAUCUUGUUACUCUUGGGUGUUUGAGCAUCCUAGACGGUUGAGGUCACCCCAGAGCCACAUUCCAUUGUGGUGAAGCUCUGUGGUCUUGUUGGGAUCCUCCAAGCUUUGUGUAGAUAUAGCCCCAACCUUAUUUGUAAAGGUCCGAUAGCCGCCUUCAAGGGCACCACUAGUGGAAUCACGACAUCUCGCAUUGUGUGAGGGCGUGAGGAGAAUACGGUGGCCCUAGUGGCUUCUUGGGGAGCAUUGUGCCUCCACACCGCUCCAACGGAGACGUACUUUUCGUCAAAGGGAAGGAACUUUGGUAACACAUCCUUGUCUCCACCGGCUCCACUUGUGGUUAUCUCUUACCUUUACUUUGUGAUUUCUAUUGUUGAGUGGUAUUCCUUGCUUGCACAUGUUGUUGUUAUUGUUCGCAUCAUAUAGGUUGCUCACCUAGUUUUUAAUCUAGAGAACCUUUUGUUGCUAACCCUAAUUUGUUAAGAAAAGCUAAAAAAAUGGUAGUUGCCUAUUCACACACCCCCCUUCUAGUCAAGCAUAUCGAUCCUUCCAAUUGGCCUUGUGCAGUCUUGUUUUGUGUAACAAGAAAAAUGGGUUGUGUUGUGGGUCGUAAUAAUCAUACUCGUGGAUCCCAAAAUUUUCUCCUACGAGAUCCACAAAUGUUCGUUUUCCUUCUACGAGAUCCGAAGUGGCCAAAUGCAUCGACUCCAUCUAUAGCCAAGAGGCUAAACUUUCGUGAAUGGCUCAACAAAUUGUUGCUCGAGAUCAUUCAAAACCCACCGUUUGCAAGACCCGCUGCGACAUAUUGCUUUCUGCUCCAAAUCCCAUAAGAGCGAGUUAUUUUUCUUUGGGAAGGUCAAAGAAAUGGAGAGUGAGUGUAGGAAACUUUUUGAUUGUGAGGUGGGAUCUCUUUAGUUAAUGUACCUCGGAAUACCCAUUCACCUUCCUAAGCUCACAAACAAAGAAUGAAAAAAAAAUGAAGAUAGAUAUCAAAAGAAGCUCAACGGUUGGAAGGGAAAACUCAUGUCCUAUGGGGCAUGAUUAACUCAUGGACGUGCAAGUCUACUCAUGCUUAUGAUGUCCUUUUUUAAAAUAUCCAAAGGGGUGUUGAAGAGGCUUGAUAUUUAUCGGUCUAGGUUCUUCUCGUAGUGUGAUGAGCACAAAGCUAAGUGAGAUAUCUUGUGUUGGCCAAAGGAUCGUGGUGGUUUGGAUAUUGAAAACAUAUAUAGAAAUACAAAAAACAAGUGCUUUCUUAGUACUCUCUUUGUGAAGAAAUAUAAGAGUGUUUAGAACACUACUUUAGUGAUCUAAACGCUCUUAUAUUUCUUUAUGAAUGGAGUAAUUGACUAUACCGAUUUCUUGACGAUAAGGGUGUAUGGCAAAAGCUUCUUCAUAAUAAGUAUCUAUAUUCAAAAACUUUAUCUCAAGUGGAAGCAAAACCGAAACUCAGUCUUUUGGAAGGGUUUGAUGAUGGAAAGUCUUCUUUCUUUAAGAGAUUUUUUUUAGGUUGGCGAUGGCCAAUCUAGGAGUUUUGGGAAGACACUUGGUUAGCGAACAACCUGCUUGUUCUACAAUAUUCAUCAUUAUGCAACAUGGCGCGUAGAAAAAACGACGUUGGGACAUUUGAACAUUCAAUUUAGAUUGGGGACACGUGGAUAGGGUGGCUUUUAGGUUGAUAUUAGCCAACUUAUGAGAAACACUGGAUGCAUUCAAAAUGGCGGUUGAAUACAAAUGGUGCAUUUACGGCCAAGUUUACGUAUGAGGACCUUACCAAUAUGGGACCGGUGUUCCGCAGGAAACAUAUUUUGAAGAUUAAGAUAUUUUGGCCAAGAGAAAUUAACAUAAAAAAAAGCUUUUGUGACUAUGAGGAAAUAAUCUAGCACCUUUUUUUUUUGAACGGAUAAUCUAGCACCUUUUUAUGUCUUUGGGUUGAGAAUUAUGCCUUAGAUCCCAUGUAAAUAGAAAUCACAUUGAUCCCUUGGAUAGAUAGAGAGGGAGGGGCCUUACACUACCUUGAAAUAUUUAUCUCACGCCUUACACUACCUUGAUUUGGAAUAUUUGUUGUCCACAACAACAAUAUUGUGGUACAGAGGGAGUAGAUUAUCUGGUUAUUGCUACUGAGAUUCUUUGUGAAACUGUUGCACUUUCUUUUUAGGGGAAUCUUCUACUAUGGCUACAAUUUAAAACUGUUAAAAGCUUGGCUGUUGCAACUUGCAACUUGACACUAUACAAUGCUUACCGCAGAUCUUGGGACCUAAGCUAUCGAUUUGAUAAAGUGAUGAUAACAAGUACACGCAGAAUAAUAACUCCUUUAAAGCACGAGAUAUAAUCCAGUUCCAGGCAUAGUAUAUCGGAUGACUUGAUUGCUAAGUCAAAUAGUACAUAAUGCUGAUGCAUGUAAUGGCUUACACAUUUUUCAACACAACAGAGUAGAUUACACAACAACCAUCACAUAUUCCACUGUGAAAUAAUGAAAACACGAUAUAAGGAUUUGAGUUCUCUGACUGGCUUAAGCUCGAUCGAAGACUAGUUUUGUCAUGUGUUGACAAAAUUCCAUUAGAGCAAGAACUUCAAUAGAAGGGCCUGCGCGGUCGGCGGAACCUGGGAGCUCUCC
rnacentral:lncRNA from 1 species